AGCUCCAAUAGCGUAUAUUAAAGUUGUUGCAGUUAAAAAGCUCGUAGUUGAAUUUAAGGUUAGGGCAGCCUCUCCUUGCCUUUGGUGAGGAAGACAGGUGUGGUCCUAGUCAUCUUUGGGAGGAAGAUCGUUGGUGUGAAAGCACUGAUGGUAGGAAUCCCAUCUUUUACUGUGAGCAAAUUAGAGUGUUCAAAGCAGGCUUAAGGCCAGUGAAUACAUGAGCAUGGAAUAAUGAGAUAGGACAUGGGUGGUCUAUUUUGUUGGUUUGCACACCUAUGUAAUGAUUAAUAGGGACAGUUGGGGGUAUUCGUAUUCAAUUGUCAGAGGUGAAAUUCUUGGAUUUAAGGAAGACGAACAACUGCGAAAGCAUUUACCAAGGAUGCUCUCA
rnacentral:rRNA from 1 species